GAUGAACGCUAGCUACAGGCUUAACACAUGCAAGUCGAGGGGAAACGAUAGAGAAAGCUUGCUUUUUCUAGGCGUCGACCGGCGCACGGGUGAGUAACGCGUAUCCAACCUGCCCACCACUUGGGGAUAACCUUGCGAAAGUAAGACUAAUACCCAAUGACGUCCAUAGAAGACAUCUGAAAUGGAUUAAAGAUUUAUCGGUGAUGGAUGGGGAUGCGUCUGAUUAGCUCGUUGGCGGGGUAACGGCCCACCAAGGCGACGAUCAGUAGGGGUUCUGAGAGGAAGGUCCCCCACAUUGGAACUGAGACACGGUCCAAACUCCUACGGGAGGCAGCAGUGAGGAAUAUUGGUCAAUGGGCGAGAGCCUGAACCAGCCAAGUAGCGUGCAGGAUGACGGCCCUAUGGGUUGUAAACUGCUUUUAUAAGGGAAUAAAGUGGGAGUCGUGACUCCUUUUGCAUGUACCUUAUGAAUAAGGACCGGCUAAUUCCGUGCCAGCCGCCGCCGUAAGAC
rnacentral:rRNA from 1 species